ACUGCUCAGUAACACGUGGACAACCUGCCCUUAGGUUGGGUAUAAACCCGGGAAACUGGGUAUAAUACCCGAUAGGUCUCGAUUGCUGGAAUGCAUCGAGAUUUAAAGCUCCGGCGCCUAAGGAUGGGUCUGCGGCCUAUCAGGUAGUAGUGGGUGUAGCGUACCUACUAGCCUACGACGGGUACGGGUUGUGAGAGCAAGAGCCCGGAGAUGGAUUCUGAGACACGAAUCCAGGCCCUACGGGGUGCAGCAGGCGCGAAAACUUUACAAUGCUGGCAACAGCGAUAAGGGAACCUCGAGUGCCAGGUUACAAAUCUGGCUGUCGAGAUGCCUAAAAAGCAUUUCAUAGCAAGGGCCGGGCAAGACCGGUGCCAGCCGCCGCGGUAACACCGGCGGCUCGAGUGGUAACCGUUAUUAUUGGGUCUAAAGGGUCUGUAGCCGGCCGGAUAAGUCUCUUGAGAAAUCUGGCAGCUUAACUGUCAGGCUUUCAGGAGAUACUGUCUGGCUCAAGGCCGGGAGAGGUGAGAGGUACUUCAGGGGUAGGGGUGAAAUCUUGUAAUCCUUGAAGGACCACCAGUGGCGAAGGCGUCUCACCAGAACGGACCUGACGGCAAGGGACGAAAGCUAGGGGCACGAACCGGAUUAGAUACCCGGGUAGUCCUAGCCGUAAACGAUACUCGCUAGGUGUCGGCCACGGUGCGACCGUUGUCGGUGCCGUAGGGAAGCCGUGAAGCGAGCCACCUGGGAAGUACGGCCGCAAGGCUGAAACUUAAAGGAAUUGGCGGGGGAGCAC
rnacentral:rRNA from 1 species